rnacentral:lncRNA from 1 species
AAGUCUGUGGGAACCAGCUGUGCAUAAAGAAGUGAGAGCAGACAAAAGGAAAUGGUCAGAUGCUUGGACGGAGAGGGGGAAGGCUGGGCUGGGCUGGUGAGACGCUUCUUCAUCUCUCAGUGACACAUUCCUUCCUCCCAGUCUUCAUUGUGAGAGCUCACCCCGGCAGAGGAUGUCAGGUAAAUAAUGUUUUCUCCUGUUUAUCUUUUACUAGAGGGUGGUCAGUCAUGAACCUUGGGCUGGAAGAGAGAAAUAUAUAACCGUGUCCUUUACAGAUUCUGGGACCUGCUCAGGGGACUGCAGAAAUGCCGGACAGAGCUGAUAAAAGCCAUCUAGAGGGCAAUGAUUUUUUAAAACCAGCGUUCAGAAGGUCCAAGUGAUUUGCCUGUAGAGUUGAAAAUGCAGUUUCUCUGCUCUCUUGCUUCUCGAGUUGGGAUGAACAGUAGCAAAGCUUCAGCGUGUUUCUUGUUUUCUUGUUACUCUGUUUCUUGUUAUGGGAUGUCAGGUGUGAAAUGUGUGCUAAGGGAAAGAAAUGUGCCCCAUUGUGUACACAUUAAGCUAAGCACAGACUUUUCUCUU